rnacentral:rRNA from 1 species
AACACAUGCAAGUCGAGGGGCAGCAUGGUCUUAGCUUGCUAAGGCCGAUGGCGACCGGCGCACGGGUGAGUAACACGUAUCCAACCUGCCGUCUACUCUUGGACAGCCUUCUGAAAGGAAGAUUAAUACAAGAUGGCAUCAUGAGUCCGCAUGUUCACAUAAUUAAAGGUAUUCCGGUAGACGAUGGGGAUGCGUUCCAUUAGAUAGUAGGCGGGGUAACGGCCCACCUAGUCUUCGAUGGAUAGGGGUUCUGAGAGGAAGGUCCCCCACAUUGGAACUGAGACACGGUCCAAACUCCUACGGGAGGCAGCAGUGAGGAAUAUUGGUCAAUGGGCGCAGGCCUGAACCAGCCAAGUAGCGUGAAGGAUGACUGCCCUAUGGGUUGUAAACUUCUUUUAUAAAGGAAUAAAGUCGGGUAUGGAUACCCGUUUGCAUGUACUUUAUGAAUAAGGAUCGGCUAACUCCGUGCCAGCAGCCGCGGUAAUACGGAGGAUCCGAGCGUUAUCCGGAUUUAUUGGGUUUAAAGGGAGCGUAGAUGGAUGUUUAAGUCAGUUGUGAAAGUUUGCGGCUCAACCGUAAAAUUGCAGUUGAUACUGGAUAUCUUGAGUGCAGUUGAGGCAGGCGGAAUUCGUGGUGUAGCGGUGAAAUGCUUAGAUAUCACGAAGAACUCCGAUUGCGAAGGCAGCCUGCUAAGCUGCAACUGACAUUGAGGC